rnacentral:tRNA from 1 species
AUGUAGCUUAGAGGGAGAGUGCUACCCUGCCAUGGGUAAGACUCUGGGUUCAAUUCCCAGCAU